GAAUUUAUAAGAACUUAUGAAUUGGCAAGCAUAUACCAAUACACAAAAUAACUGCAUGAAUUUGGAAUAUAUUAGAAAAUAGUUCAUAUCAAAAUCUAACAAAAAUAUAAUGCCACAAAUAAAAAUCAAAGUUCUGCUAAACAUAAGUAAAUAUCAUAAAAAAAAAUCUAAUUAAACUCAACGGUAUCCUCGUCGUUCAAGAACAGAUAAUUAAAAGUUUUUCGAGUGCGAUAUCCCACUUGCUGGAGUUUUCUCACUAAUGGUUGUUGCAUGCACAACUGCCUUGCCAUAUACAAGACAAAAAUCCCACAAUCAACCAAAUCUGGUUUGUUGAGGCGAUGUCGAAACUUAAUAUGGCUUUGUGUUAUCGUGCAAAUAGAUUUGGCUUGAUUCAUCGUUGCUUCCCUCUUUUUGAAGAGGCAAAUAAUUCAUCUAUUUUCCUCUCCCGUUUCGUCAAAUCAACUGUUCAAUUGAAAAAAAAAAUUAUUGGACAACCAUGUCGGUACCUAUGCAAAAUGCAAAAUGAAAAAAAAAACAUCAAAGUGCAAAACGCAAAAUGCAAAAUAAAUAUCAAAGUGCAAAAUACACUACGCUAGAAACAACAAAUCGCAAACAGAAAAAAAAAAAAACAACGAAAUCGAAUAUAUGUUGCAAUCGACACCAGAAAAUAACAUGAACAAAAAAUAAAAAAAAAACAAAUGUAUCACAAAACAGCAAAAUGAAAACACAAAAUAAUGUAACACAUACCAGGAAACUCCAAACAAACAAUCAACGGAUUUAGGAGGAAAAAGACAAAUUUAACAAAAUACUCCAAAGGGCCGAAAAGCACAAAAGACGACAAAACAAAAAAUCGCAAUCGAGUUAUUAAAAGAUGUAACAAAAACGCAAAACAACCGGAAAAAUAUUGUAAAUGAACAGUAAAACCAAACAAAAAAUAAUGUCAAAACGAAAAAUAAAAAUAAAAAUUACAUGGGGUUAAAACCUCUAAUUUGCAUCUUUCACUUAUGUUAUAAAAAUAACCUAUUGCAUUCCGUCAAUGAAUCGCCAUUAAAGACAUUUACAAAAUCACAAAUCAAAUUACCUGUACGUUUCGAUUUUGCACUAUCCUCUAGGAUGUGUUUUCUUUGUUGGCGAUUUGCAGAAGUUAUAGAGAUUACAUCGUUCUCGAGAACAACGAUAGGGGAACAUAGAUUGCAUUGAAUAAAAGGGGGCAGGGAGAAGUUUUGUUUUUUGAGAGAUUAACGAUGGAAAAAUACAAUUUGGGGAGGAUUUGCAAUUGACGUUUUGCAGCACGAUUU
rnacentral:lncRNA from 1 species